rnacentral:lncRNA from 1 species
AACAAAUGAUCAUAGGAAACAGAUAACCAAUCAAUGGCCUUACAUCUGACUCCUCACAUAAACAAACAUGCUAUGAAAAGCAAAAAAGCAAGCACAUGGAAUGAUGCAAGUAGAUAUGCAAAAGCAAACAUGAAAGAUGCACAGUUAAGCAAUCAAGCAAUCAGUUAGCACACACUAUACACAAUCAAGAGGCUCAAUCAAGGUUGGGCUUUAAACAAGCCAAUACUGUAUGGGUGUUUUGAGCUCUUA